GGCAGAUGUCAGACACAGAUGGAUUCCUUAAGAGGACACAGAACUUUAAUGGGAUUGGAAAUGGUACUGACCAGCUGUAAGUAUUUAGAGAAGGCGGGAGAUGACAGUCCAAAGUAGGCCCGAGGAGGGGUGGCAUUGCAAGUGUUUUCUUUUAGGCUCCGACUUGACCGAGAACACAUUCGGGCCUGCUGCAUCAAUAAAUGGAUAAGAAAGAUGAAAAAGAUGUGAAAGAAAAGGAUAAGGCUUUGGAAAUGAAAGAAGCUCUUUAAACACGUCAUCAAACGCUGCGGCCACAGCGGGGGGCCUCUGCAUACACCCGUGUGAGGGAUGCUUGGAGUGGGUGUGUGAAUAUAGUUUUGUAUCGGCCUAAUAAACCAUCCGUCUGCAGGGAGGGGUGAGCAGUGGAUGUGAAUGUUAAAAGGGGGGGUUACAGAACUCUUUUUUUUUUUCCUCUCUCCAUAUUUAUACCCCUUUGAAAUUCACAGACAGACGGACGCAAAGUCCAGCCUAGAGGUUUUUUUGAUGGUCGUCGAUACCGCUGCGUGAUGAUGUCAUACGGCAGACAGCAUGGGAGGGAGGCCUGAUCAAAGGAGAGAGGGAGGGAUGAAGACUGAGGAGAGGAUAACCAAGACAACAACGGGACAAAGAUGGCGACAGCUUCAGCAAUGGGACGUCCACUGGCGUCCAGACCCUCAGAUCACCAAAAGGCGCCAAGGCCAUGCAGCAACUGCAACCUCAUCCUUUAUCCCAACAGGAAGAGCACCGGCGACACGGAUGGGAACGACUGCGCCAACCUCAGCCAUCUCCACCUCCGAGCUAGCAUGCUUCAGGUUGUCAUGGAGGAGCAGUUCAGCCAGAAAUGGACAGAGAUCAAAACAGAUGUCUGGACCUUACCUGAACCACCGGAUCCGGACCUUCAGCUCAUUCAACAGCCAGCCUGACAAAAUGAAAAGUAUGUUUUCUGGCAUCAUUUAGUUUUGAUGUUGUUUUGGUAAAAAUAAACCAAAUUUGCAAUUUAGUUUAGUAUUAGUUUAAUAUAUUAGCACAUUAGUUUAAUAUUUACCACAAAUAAAACAGUUUUCACAUUAUUAUCUCAAAUUAUUUUAUGUAGUUUGAGUUAUAUGCAAUGUAACCAAAUUUGGUUAUCAUAUUAUAUUACACUUUUGAUGAAAAGAAUCUGUAAAUUUGGUAAAUAAUUAUUUUAUGCAUUUCUUAUAUGUUCAAUUAUUUUUUGUCCUAGUGGGGUCCCCUAUUUAUAAAUAGAUAAGCUUGUGAAACUUCCUGUUCAUCUGAGCCAUAUAAUUACAAGAUUUCUGCUCUUUAACAAGUGGAUUUUUAAGGUUAAUACACAAUUCAGUGCUAAUCUGUGUAGCUUCUUCAGAUAAGCCUUAACUAUUUAGUUACUUUAAAGAAAUCCAGUUUUUCUUCUGUCUGUUGAUGCACCAGCAGGUAACAACGAAACACAGAGUGAGAUUUAUUAUUUAAUAAAUCUAAAGGGUCUCAAAGUUUUAACUAAAAUAAAAUAACACCAAUUGAAUGUAAUAGGGUCAUUUAGUACUCCUUAUUUGUUAGGUUAUAGAAAUGAUCACUAUCAGUUUACAUCAAGGAAUAAUAAAGAGUCCUUUUCUCUCUCCUCCUCACACGCACAUGCGCACACGUACACGCCCGCAAACGUUUAAUCACCCGCGGACUUGAAUGACUGACAGCUCGUUGGAGGAGAGUGACAAGGAAGGCGGUCGGACAGGAGCAGCAGCGGCGGCAGUGGCGGCGUGUUUCCUCAGCCUGUCUGUCUGUCGGGGAUGCUGGCUCUUGAAGUCUGACAGGUGAGUCCCUUUAUCGCAGCUAAAACGCUAGUUUCUCAAGAUUUGUUUCGCAUUUUGUGAAGCAAAAUA
ensembl:lncRNA